rnacentral:lncRNA from 1 species
UGUGUUCGAAUCCCUAUACAGGAAAGGGUAUUAUUUUUGGCUCAGAUGUCGGGAUAGAGUUGUGUAAUAGGAGGAAUCUGAGUAGUGGAUGUGUAGUGGGAAUUAGAGGAGAAGAUUAAGGGAUUUUGGGGGUUAUCAAGAUUUUAUUUUAUUUUUUUCCCAUAACCAAAUUUUGACUCUCUUUUCUAAAAAAAACUCUGCCGUCUAUUCUUCUCCCUCUCCUCUCGCGAAAAUUCUUUGAGUUUUUCCAUCUUUCUUUUUUUUUCUUCUUCUUGAUUUUUCCCUAAUCCAUUUAUUUUCCUUCGUUUUCGCACGCGAUUAGUGCUCG